GGAGAGAUGGCCGAGCGGUCUAAGGCGCGCCCCUGGAAAGGGCGUACAUGGGAAACUGUGUCGCGAGUUCGAAUCUCGCUCUCUCCGCCA
rnacentral:tRNA from 1 species